UUUCCGUAGGUGAACCUGCGGAAGGAUCAUUAUCAAAAGUCAAGUCGGGGGCUGUAAAGCUCUCGUCUACACCCAUGUCUUUUGCGUACUCUUGUUUCCUCGGUGGCGCAAGCUGCCGAUUGGACAAACCAAAACCUUUUUUGUAAUUGCAAUCAGCGUCUGAAAAAACAUAAUAGUUACAACUUUCAACAACGGAUCUCUUGGUUCUG
rnacentral:misc_RNA from 1 species